AUUGAACGCUGGCGGCAUGCCUUACACAUGCAAGUCGAACGGUAACAGGUCUUCGGAUGCUGACGAGUGGCGAACGGGUGAGUAAUACAUCGGAACGUGCCCGAUCGUGGGGGAUAACGGAGCGAAAGCUUUGCUAAUACCGCAUACGAUCUACGGAUGAAAGCAGGGGACCGCAAGGCCUUGCGCGGACGGAGCGGCCGAUGGCAGAUUAGGUAGUUGGUGGGAUAAAAGCUUACCAAGCCGACGAUCUGUAGCUGGUCUGAGAGGACGACCAGCCACACUGGGACUGAGACACGGCCCAGACUCCUACGGGAGGCAGCAGUGGGGAAUUUUGGACAAUGGGCGCAAGCCUGAUCCAGCCAUGCCGCGUGCAGGAUGAAGGCCUUCGGGUUGUAACUGCUUUUGUACGGAACGAAAAGACUCUUUCUAAUAAAGAGGGUCCAUGACGGUACCGUAAGAAUAAGCACCGGCUAACUACGUGCCAGCAGCCGACC
rnacentral:rRNA from 1 species